rnacentral:rRNA from 1 species
CAAUAGCGUAUAUUAAAGUUGUUGCGGUAAAAAAGCUCGUAGUUGGAUUUCUGUUGAGAGCGACCGGUCCAUACCAUGUAUGCGUAUCUGGCUUGCUCUCGGCAUCCUCUCGAUAGACGUUACUGCGCUUGAUUGCGUGGUGCGGAUCUCGGGACUUUUACUUUGAGGAAAUUAGAGUGUUCACGGCAGGCUUUCGCCAGAAUACAUUAGCAUGGAAUAAUACUAUAGGAUCUUGGUUCUAUUUUGUUGGUUUCUAGAAUUGAGAUAAUGAUUAAUAGGGACAAUUGGGGGCAUUCGUAUCAACACGUCAGAGGUGGAAUUCUUGGAUUGCGUUGCGACGAACUACUGCGAAAGCAUUUGCCAAGGAUGUUUUCAUUGA